GACGAACGCUGGCGGCGUGCUUAACACAUGCAAGUCGAACGAAGUGGCGAACGGGUGAGUAACGCGUAAUCAACCUGCCCUUCAGAGGGGGACAACAGUUGGAAACGACUGCUAAUACCGCAUACUGAAGGAGGGGAUUGCGUCGGAUUAGCUAGUUGGGGGGGUAACGGCCUACCAAGGCGAAGAUCAGUAGCCGGUCUUGGGAGGUGGACGGCCAAAGUGGGACUGAGACACGGCCCAGACUUCUACGGGAGGCAGCCGUGGGGAAACCUCCCAAAUGGACGAAAGUCUGACGGAGCAACGCCGCGGGAGUGAUGGAGGCCUUCGGGUUGGAAAGCUCUGUUAAUCGGGACGCGGUACCGGAAUAGAAAGCCACGGCUAACUACGUGCCAGCCGCCGCGGUAAUUC
rnacentral:rRNA from 1 species